AAGUCGUAACAAGGUCUCUGUUAGUAAACUAGCGGAGGGAUUAUUACAGAGUUGUACAACUCGCUAAACCAUUGUAAACCCUACCUCCCUGUUGCUUCGGCGGGAGGUACCCUCGUCGCCUUAUAAUGGGCUGCUCGUAGGGUGCCCCUAGGCCCCGCGUAGGCGCCCGCUGGAAUAAUUUUAGAACCUCUUGACAGUAUAUAGCCUCUUUGAGUCUUACUAAAUAAGUUAAAACUUUCAACAACAGAUCUCUUAGUUCUA
rnacentral:misc_RNA from 1 species